rnacentral:rRNA from 1 species
UACGGGGGGGGCAAGCGUUGUCCGGAUUUAUUGGGCGUAAAGAGCGUGUAGGCGGCCAGGUAGGUCUGCUGUGAAAACUCGAGGCUCAACCUCGAGACGUCGGCGGAAACCAUCUGGCUAGAGUCCGGAAGAGGAGAGUGGAAUUCCUGGUGUAGCGGUGAAAUUCGUAGAUAUUCGCAAGAACACCAGUGGCGAAGGCGGCUUACUGGUCCGGAACUGACGCUGAGGUGCGAAAGCGUGGGGAGCAAACAG